AUGGAGGUUUGGAAGGCGAGGCCCGCAGACGCCUUCGCCCCGGCCAUCUGGAGCAACUACGCCCCGAACAAGUGCAGGCUCUUCAUCUGGCUUGCCAACAAAUACCGCCUAUUUACAAACGCCAGGCGCUUCCGGCGGGGUAUCACUACCUCCGACGCCUGCCCCUUCUGCACGCAAUGUGAAACUAUCAAACACCUCAUGUUCGAAUGCAGACAACUUCGCCCCUUGUGGGCGGAACUGGAUAGCCUUUGCCCAGAUGCGCCGCAUGGGCUCCUCCACGCCUGGGACGGGAACUACACUAACAAGACGAGAUCAACUGUUCUCAUGGCCGUCCUCUGGAACAUUUGGCAGAGGAGGAAUGCAAAAGUCUUCCGGGAUCUCCCCCUCGAUCUACACACGACUGCUGCCAACGCGGGCAAAUGA
rnacentral:rRNA from 1 species